CCUACGGGAGGCAGCAGUAGGGAAUCUUCCGCAAUGGACGAAAGUCUGACGGAGCAACGCCGCGUGAACGAUGAAGGCCUUCGGGUCGUAAAGUUCUGUUGUUAGGGAAGAACAAGUGCUAGUUGAAUAAGCUGGCACCUUGACGGUACCUAACCAGAAAGCCACGGCUAACUACGUGCCAGCAGCCGCGGUAAUACGUAGGUGGCAAGCGUUGUCCGGAAUUAUUGGGCGUAAAGCGCGCGCAGGCGGUUUCUUAAGUCUGAUGUGAAAGCCCCCGGCUCAACCGGGGAGGGUCAUUGGAAACUGGGAAACUUGAGUGCAGAAGAGGAAAGUGGAAUUCCAAGUGUAGCGGUGAAAUGCGUAGAGAUUUGGAGGAACACCAGUGGCGAAGGCGACUUUCUGGUCUGUAACUGACGCUGAGGCGCGAAAGCGUGGGGAGCAAACAGGAUUAGAUACCCUGGUAGUCCACGCUGUAAACGAUGAGUGCUAAGUGUUAGAGGGUUUCCGCCUUUAGUGCUGAAGUUAACGCAUUAAGCACUCCGCCUGGGGAGUACGGUCGCAAGACUGAAACUNAAAUUGAAUUGACGG
rnacentral:rRNA from 1 species